UGGGGAAUUUUGGACAAUGGGCGAACGNCUGAUCCAGCAAUGCCGCGUGUGCGAAGAAGGCCUUCGGGUUGUAAAGCACUUUUACCAGGAACGAAAAGUUUGGCUCUAAUAAAGUCGGACGAUGACGGUACCUGGAGAAUAAGCACCGGCUAACUACGUGCCAGCAGCCGCGGUAAUACGUAGGGUGCAAGCGUUAAUCGGAAUUACUGGGCGUAAAGCGUGCGCAGGCGGUUGUGUAAGACAGAUGUGAAAUCCCCGGGCUUAACCUGGGAAUUGCAUUUGUGACUGCACGACUAGAGUGUGUCAGAGGGGGGUGGAAUUCCACGUGUAGCAGUGAAAUGCGUAGAUAUGUGGAGGAACACCAAUGGCGAAGGCAGCCCCCUGGGAUAACACUGACGCUCAUGCACGAAAGCGUGGGGGGCAAACAGGAUUAGAUACCCUGGUAGUCCACGCCCUAAACGAUGUCAACUAGUUGUUGGGGAUUUAUUUCCUUGGUAACGUAGCUAACGCGUGAAGUUGACCGCCUGGGGAGUACGGCCGCAAGGUUG
rnacentral:rRNA from 1 species